GAUGAACGCUGGCGGCGUGCCUAAUACAUGCAAGUCGAGCGAACAGAUGAGGAGCUUGCUCCUCUGACGUUAGCGGCGGACGGGUGAGUAACACGUGGAUAACCUACCUAUAAGACUGGGAUAACUUCGGGAAACCGGAGCUAAUACCGGAUAAUAUAUUGAACCGCAUGGUUCAAUAGUGAAAGACGGUUUUGCUGUCUCUUAUAGAUGGAUCCGCGCCGCAUUAGCUAGUUGGUAAGGUAACGGCUUACCAAGGCAAUGAUGCGUAGCCGACCUGAGAGGGUGAUCAGCCACACUGGAACUGUGACACGGUCCAGACUCCUACGGGAGGCAGCAGUAGGGAAUCUUCCGCAAUGGGCGAAAGCCUGACGGAGCAACGCCGCGUGAGUGAUGAAGGUCUUCGGAUCGUAAAACUCUGUUAUUAGGGAAGAACAAAUGUGUAAGUAACUAUGCACGUCUUGACGGUACCUAAUCAGAAAGCCACGGCUAACUACGUG
rnacentral:rRNA from 1 species